GGAAGUAAAAGUCGUAACAAGGUUUCCGUAGGUGAACCUGCGGAAGGAUCAUUACUGAUUUAGCGAACCGAGCGUUAGCGAGGUUUUGCGAUCAACUUGUAUUUAAAACCCACUCUUCAAUGUAUAAAAUUUGUAUUAAUGAUAAAUUAAAAGAUCACUUUCAACAACGGAUCUCUUGGCUCUCGCAUCGAUGAAGAACGUAGCGAAGUGCGAUAAGUAAUGUGAAUUGCAGUAUUCCGUGAAUCAUCGAACCUUUGAACGCAUAUUGCACUUUCUGGUAUUCCGGAAAGUAUGCCUGUUUGAGGGUCAGUUAAAUAAAAAUCGGUGUUGUUGCCGCUUUCCAUGGUGACGCGUCGGAAUUGAGUCGUCUUCGGUUAAGUGACUUAAAAUUUUAUAUGAUUUUCGAACGUAUUUAAAUUUAUUUGAACGUUUGAUAUCGAAUGCUUAUUAGGUUCGGUCAUCCUCAUGACUCGCGCCUAUAAUUUUUCAUUAAAUGACCUCAAAUCAGGUAAGAAUACCCGCUGAACUUAAGCAUAUCAAUAAGCGGAGGA
rnacentral:rRNA from 1 species